GUGCAACAGAAACACCUAAUGCGAAAACUGAGCAAGUUUGGGCAGUUGAAUAAAAUAUUAAUUUCAUCGCACGUAUAAUGCAGAGGUAGAAGGGGUGGAUCCCUCCCCACCCUCUCAAACCCCCCCAACCCAAACUUGCAGGGCUCGCGCCGCACUUUCCAUUCGCUCUCGAGCUCGGGCAACCAUGUGAAGAAGUUCUGCUCUUCCCUCACACCUUCUCAUCCUGUGGAUGGAAUAAGAUGCUUUCAAACGACGAUGCCUCGUGCCUCUUUAGCAAACUAGUCGUGGAAGGAUUUCGUGGAUGUGAUUUCUAAUCGAGGAUGUUCGUUUAUCCGUUUCACAUCCAGAUGACCGGUUUUCCGGAGAGUCCAAGGAGAAUAGGCAGCUGGAGCUCGGAGUCGCCCGCAGGAGGAAGUGGAGGCAGCGCUGCCUCAUGAGGCUGAUGUAACACGAGGGUCGGCAGACAAAUGAAGGAUGCUAAAGGAAUCAUGGGAAGGAUAUGAUCUCGAUACUUCAAUAUCACAUCAGUGAUGGUGAAAGUAACAUCAAUCAUAGUUCACAGAUCAUAAUACAAAGAUGGAGAAGAUGGUUCAGUCAAAGGGUAAAAUACAUGAUAUAAAUAAAAUUUCCCUAUAUACAUGUGUAUGUCUGUGUGUGUGUGUGUGUGUGUGUGUGUGUGUGUGUGUUAUAUAU